rnacentral:rRNA from 1 species
AUGUCAGAUAGGCAGAAGGGCCUGCUUAAUGCUGUCAAUGCUGUAUUUCCAAACUGCCCACAAAGAUUUUGUUUAAGGCACAUUUAUGCAAAUUUUCAAAGAGCUGGAUUUAGAGGUGAAGAUCUGAAAAAAUGCAUGGACAGUGCUAGCUAUUCCUACACAAAGCAUGGUUUUGAUGUAGCCAUGGCCAAUUUGAAGAAUGAGUGUGAGGAUGCAUGGAGGUGGUUAUCUGGUAUUCCAGUACACACAUGGGCUAGGCAUGAAAUGGACACAAAUUGCAAAACAGACCUGGUGGUUAAUAACAUAAGUGAGGUCUUCAAUAAAUAUAUCUUGGAUGUUAGAAACAAACCAAUAGUGACAAUGAUUAAUGGAAUCAAAGACAAGUUGCUAGUCAGGUUUGAUGGAAAAAGAGAAAAUGCAGCAGCUUCUAGAUGGGAAAUAGCUCCAACAUAUGCAGGACAACUGGAGAUGAGCAAGAAGUUUCAAAGAGAUUGCAAAGCAAUUAGGGCAGGGCCUAACCUGUGGCAAGUAAGCAGUGGGCCAAAGACCUAUGCUCUGAACCUUGAGGAGCACACUUGUGGAUGCAGGAAGUGGGACAUGUCAGGUUUGCCAUGCAACCAUGCUUGCAGUGCAAUUUACAAGGCCAAGAUGCAACCUGAGGAUUUUGUAAGUCCUUUCUUGAGGAAAGCAAUGUAUUUGGAGGCAUACAAACCAAUAGUGUAUCCAGUUCCUGGAGAAGAUGCUUGGGUCAAGUCAGGAAAACCUGAUAUUGAGCCUCCUGUAUUCCACAAAGAGGACCAGAGUGGAAGAAAAGAAGAAAAGAGGAAGAAGGGAAGGUUUGAAGUGCCUAAACCAAAAGAUACCUCUAGGAUGGCUACAAUCAGAUGUGGCAACUGUAGGUUAAUGGGCCACAGGUUUACUAAUUGUGGACAACCUUUGAGGCCUGAUCUGCAGAUGAGGAAAAAUAGAAGCAUGGAAAAGAGAAGGCAAAAGGCAGAAUCCUACACUCCACCUGAUGCUACUGCGGCUCCUAUGGCACCAAGAGCUGCUCCUAUGGCAUCAAGAGCUGCUCCUAGGGCACCAAGAGCUGCUCCUAGGGUACCAAGAGCUGCUCCUAGGGCACCAAGGGCCGCUUUCUUAGCACCAAGGCCAGCAGCUAGGCCUCCAUGUGGAGAAAGGACUUCUUUUGCUGCUGGUACUUCUACAUCUACAUCAACUGUUGCUGCUGCUGCUAAAAAAUAG